GACGAACGCUGGCGGCGUGCUUAACACAUGCAAGUCGAACGCAGUGGCGAACGGGUGAGUAACGGGUAAUCAACCUGCCCUUCAGCGGGGGACAACAGUUGAAAACGACUGCUAAUACCGCAUACGGAAGAAGGGGAUUGCGUGUGAUUAGCUAGUUGGAGGGGUAACGGCCAACCAAGGCGAUGAUCAGUAGCCGGUCUGAGAUGAUGAACGGCCACAUUGGGACUGAGAAAAGGCCCAGACUCCUACGGGAGGCAGCAGUGGGGAAUCUUCCGCAAUGGACGAAAGUCUGACGGAGCAACGCCGCGUGAGUGAUGACGGCCUUCGGGUUGUAAAGCUCUGUUAAUCGGGACGCGGUACCGGAAUAGAAAGCCACGGCUAACUACGUGCCAGCAGCCGCGGUAAUAC
rnacentral:rRNA from 1 species